rnacentral:rRNA from 1 species
GGACUACCCGGGUAUCUAAUCCCGUUUGCUCCCCUGGCUUUCGCGCCUCAGCGUCAGAAGGUGUCCAGCACGUCGCUUUCGCCACCGGCGUUCCUUCCGAUAUCUACGCAUUUCACCGCUCCACCGGAAGUUCCACAUGCCCCUACACCCCUCCAGACCAACAGUAUCCGAAGCACUUCUCCGGUUAAGCCGAAGUAUUUCACCCCGGACUUGCUGGCCCGCCUACGCGCCCUUUAAGCCCAGUGAUUCCGAACAACGUUCGCACGGUUCGUCUUACCGCGGCUGCUGGCAC